AAUAAACCAACUUUUCACUUUUUAUCUAUAAUUUUUGACUCUUCGUCUUAUUCGAAUUCUUUUUACGAUUGAUAUUUUUAUUUUUAUUAGAUAAUAAACCAUAAAUAGUAAUGUACGUGUGACUAAUUUUUUCUAAUUUUCCAAAAAUUUUUUAAGUAAAACGAAUGGUCAAACGUUAGACAUAAAAAUCGAAG
rnacentral:pre_miRNA from 1 species